UGUGGGAGCGGGCUUGCUCGCGAAGACGUAGUGUCAGUCGCUAUAAAUUUUUGCUGAUCCACCGCUUUCGCGAGCAAGCCCGCUCCCACA
rnacentral:antisense_RNA from 1 species